UACGGAGGGUGCAAGCGUUAUCCGGAUUUACUGGGUUUAAAGGGUGCGUAGGCGGAUCUUUAAGUCAGUGGUGAAAUCCUCCCGCUUAACGGGAGAACUGCCAUUGAUACUAUUGAUCUUGAAUUCAGUUGAGGUGGGCGGAAUGUGUCGUGUAGCGGUGAAAUGCUUAGAUAUGACACAGAACACCGAUUGCGAAGGCAGCUCGCUAAACUGUGAUUGACGCUGAGGCACGAAAGCGUGGGGAUCAAACAGG
rnacentral:rRNA from 1 species